rnacentral:tmRNA from 1 species
GUUUGAGGAUCGAAGCACUAAAUUGAAUCAAACUAGCUUAAGUUUAGCGUGUCUGUCCGCAUGCUUAAGUGAAAUUAAAGACGAGACUAAACGUGUAGUGCUGAAGGUAGAGUAAUUUCGGACGCGGGUUCAACUCCCGCCAGCUCCACCA